AGAGUUUGAUCCUGGCUCAGGACGAACGCUGGCGGCGCGCCUAACACAUGCAAGUCGAACGAGCGAGAGAGAGCUUGCUUUCUCAAGCGAGUGGCGAACGGGUGAGUAACGCGUGAGGAACCUGCCUCAAAGAGGGGGACAACAGUUGGAAACGACUGCUAAUACCGCAUAAGCCCACAGCUCGGCAUCGAGCAGAGGGAAAAGGAGCAAUCCGCUUUGAGAUGGCCUCGCGUCCGAUUAGCUAGUUGGUGAGGUAAUGGCCCACCAAGGCGACGAUCGGUAGCCGGACUGAGAGGUUGAACGGCCACAUUGGGACUGAGACACGGCCCAGACUCCUACGGGAGGCAGCAGUGGGGAAUAUUGCACAAUGGGGGAAACCCUGAUGCAGCGACGCCGCGUGGAGGAAGAAGGUCUUCGGAUUGUAAACUCCUGUUGUUGAGGAAGAUAAUGACGGUACUCAACAAGGAAGCGACGGCUAACUACGUGCCAGCAGCCGCGGUAAAACGUAGGUCACAAGCGUUGUCCGGAAUUACUGGGUGUAAAGGGAGCGCACGCGGGAAGACAAGUUGGAAGUGAAAUCUAUGGGCUCAACCCAUAAACUGCUUUCAAAACUGUUUUUCUUGAGUAGUGCAGACGUACGCGGAAUUCCCGGUGUAGCGGUGGAAUGCGUAGAUAUCGGGGAGGAACACCAGUGGCGAAGGCGGCCUACUGGGCACCAACUGACGCUGAGGCUCGAAAGUGUGGGUACCAAACAGGAUUAGAUACCCUGGUAGUCCACACCGUAAACGAUGAUUACUAGGUGUUGGAGGAUUGACCCCUUCAGUGCCGCAGUUAACACAAUAAGUAAUCCACCUGGGAAGUACGACCGCAAGGUUGAAACUCAAAGGAAUUGACGGGGGCCCGCACAAGCAGUGGAGUAUGUGGUUUAAUUCGACGCAACGCGAAGAACCUUACCAAGUCUUGACAUCCUGCGACGGACAUAGAAAUAUGUCUUUCCUUCGGGACGCAGAGACAGGUGGUGCAUGGUUGUCGUCAGCUCGUGUCGUGAGAUGUUGGGUUAAGUCCCGCAACGAGCGCAACCCUUACUGUCAGUUACUACGCAAGAGGACUCUGGCAGGACUGCCGUUGACAAAACGGAGGAAGGUGGGGAUGACGUCAAAUCAUCAUGCCCUUUAUGACUUGGGCUACACACGUACUACAAUGGCGUUAAACAAAGAGAAGCAAGACCGCGAGGUGGAGCAAAACUCAGAAACAACGUCCCAGUUCGGACUGCAGGCUGCAACUCGCCUGCACGUAGUCGGAAUUGCUAGUAAUCGUGGAUCAGCAUGCCACGGUGAAUACGUUCCCGGGCCUUGACACACCGCCCGUC
rnacentral:rRNA from 1 species